rnacentral:rRNA from 1 species
UACAGGGGUCUCAAGCGUUGUUCGGAUUCAUUGGGCGUAAAGGGUGCGUAGGCGGCGCGGCAAGUCGGGUGUGAAAUCUCGGAGCUUAACUUCGAAACUGCAUUCGAUACUGCCGUGCUUGAGGACUGGAGAGGAGACUGGAAUUUACGGUGUAGCGGUGAAAUGCGUAGAUAUCGUAAGGAAGACCAGUGGCGAAGGCGGGUCUCUGGACAGUUCCUGACGCUGAGGCACGAAGGCCAGGGGAGCAAACGGG